UUGACCUCGGAUCAGGUAGGAAUACCCGCUGAACUUAAGCAUAUCAAUAAGCGGAGGAAAAGAAACCAACAGGGAUUGCCCUAGUAACGGCGAGUGAAGCGGCAACAGCUCAAAUUUGAAAUCUGGCUCUCGGGCCCGAGUUGUAAUUUGUAGAGGAUGCUUUUGGCAAGGUGCCUUCCGAGUUCCCUGGAACGGGACGCCAUAGAGGGUGAGAGCCCCGUCUGGUUGGACACCGAGCCUCUGUAAAGCUCCUUCGACGAGUCGAGUAGUUUGGGAAUGCUGCUCUAAAUGGGAGGUAUAUGUCUUCUAAAGCUAAAUACUGGCCAGAGACCGAUAGCGCACAAGUAGAGUGAUCGAAAGAUGAAAAGCACUUUGAAAAGAGAGUUAAAAAGCACGUGAAAUUGUUGAAAGGGAAGCGCUUAUGACCAGACUUGGGCUUGGUUGAUCAUCCGGCGUUCUCGCCGGUGCACUCUUCCAGUUCAGGCCAGCAUCAGUUUGCCUCGGGGGAUAAAAGUAGCGGGAAUGUG
rnacentral:rRNA from 1 species